rnacentral:rRNA from 1 species
GCCCAGACUCCUACGGGAGGCAGCAGUGGGGAAUAUUGGGCAAUGGGCGAAAGCCUGACCCAGCAACGCCGCGUGAAGGAAGAAGGCUUUCGGGUUGUAAACUUCUUUUGACAGGGAAGAGCAGAAGACGGUACCUGUCGAAUAAGCCCCGGCUAACUACGUGCCAGCAGCCGCGGUAAUACGUAGGGGGCAAGCGUUAUCCGGAUUUACUGGGUGUAAAGGGAGCGUAGACGGCAGUGCAAGUCUGAAGUGAAAGGCGGGGGCCCAACCCCCGGACUGCUUUGGAAACUGUGCUGCUGGAGUGCAGGAGAGGCAAGUGGAAUUCCUAGUGUAGCGGUGAAAUGCGUAGAUAUUAGGAAGAACACCAGUGGCGAAGGCGGCUUUCUGGACUGAAACUGACGCUGAGGCACGAAAGCGUGGGGAGCGAACAGGAUUAGAUACCCCAGUA